rnacentral:rRNA from 1 species
ACGGGAGGCAGCAGUGGGGAAUAUUGGGCAAUGGGCGCAAGCCUGACCCAGCAAUGCCGCGUGAAGGAAGAAGGCUUUCGGGUUGUAAACUUCUUUUAAGAGGGACGAUAAUGACGGUACCUCUUGAAUAAGCUCCGGCUAACUACGUGCCAGCAGCCGCGGUAAUACGUAGGGAGCAAGCGUUAUCCGGAUUUACUGGGUGUAAAGGGCGUGUAGGCGGGACUGCAAGUCAGAUGUGAAAGCACGAGGCUCAACCUCGUGUCUGCAUUUGAAACUGUAGUUCUUGAGUGCUGGAGAGGCUAACGGAAUUCCUAGUGUAGCGGUGAAAUGCGUAGAUAUUAGGAGGAACACCAGUGGCGAAGGCGGCUUACUGGACGGUAACUGACGUUGAGGCUCGAAAGCGUGGGGAGCAAACAGGAUUAGAUACCCUGAUA